GUUUGUUUCUGAGACUGAAAUACACCCAAUCUCAUCUGAUCUGCAAAGCUAAGCAGGGUUGGGCCUGGUUAGUAUUUGGAUGGGAGACUACCUGGGAAUACCAGGUGCUGUAAGCU
ensembl:rRNA 5S_rRNA 5S ribosomal RNA